AGUGGGAUAACUGGGUCAAAUGGUGGCUCCAUUCCAAGUUUUCUGAGGAAUCUCCAUACUGCUUUCCAGAGUGGUUGCACCAAUUUGCAGUCCCACCAGCAAU
rnacentral:pre_miRNA from 1 species